rnacentral:rRNA from 1 species
CCUACGGGGGGCAGCAGUGGGGAAUAUUGGACAAUGGGGGGAACCCUGAUCCAGCGACGCCGCGUGAGUGAAGAAGUAUUUCGGUAUGUAAAGCUCCAUCAGCAGGGAAGAAAGAAAUGACGGUACCUGACUAAGAAGCCCCGGCUAACUACGUGCCAGCAGCCGCGGGAAUACGUAGGGGGCAAGCGUUAUCCGGAUUUACUGGGUGUAAAGGGAGCGUAGACGGCGAUGCAAGUCUGAAGUGAAAGGCGGGGGCCCAACCUCCGGACUGCUUUGGAAACUGUAUGGCUGGAGUGCAGGAGAGGUAAGUGGAAUGCGUGGUGUAGCGGUGAAAUGCGUAGAUAUUAGGAGGAACACCAGUGGCGAAGGCGGCUUACUGGACUGUAACUGACGUUGAGGCUCGAAAGCGUGGGGAACAAACAGGAUUAGAUACCCGUGUAGUC